AACGAACGCUGGCGGCAUGCCUAACACAUGCAAGUCGAACGAGACCUUCGGGUCUAGUGGCGCACGGGUGCGUGACGCGUGGGAACCUGCCCUUAGGUUCGGAAUAACUCCCCGAAAGGGGUGCUAAUACCGGAUAAUGUCGUCGGACCAAAGAUUUAUCGCCUUUGGAUGGGCCCGCGUUGGAUUAGCUAGUUGGUAGGGUAAAAGCCUACCAAGGCGACGACCCAUAGCUGGUCUGAGAGGAUGAUCAGCCACACUGGGACUGAGACACGGCCCAGACUCCUACGGGAGGCAGCAGUGGGGAAUAUUGGACAAUGGGCGAAAGAGUGAUCCAGCAAUGCCGCGUGAGUGAUGAAGGCGUUAGGGUUGUAAAGCUGUUUUACCCGGGAUGAUAAUGACAGUACCGGGAGAAUAAGCUCCGGCUAACUACGUG
rnacentral:rRNA from 1 species